CCUACGGGCGACAGCAGUGAGGAAUAUUGGUCAAUGGACGGAAGUCUGAACCAGCCAAGCCGCGUGAAGGAAGAAGGCACAGUGAGUUGUAAACUGCUUUUGUAAAAGGAUAAACCUGAAGACGUGUAUGCAGCUGAGAGUACCGUAAGAAUAAGGAUCGGCUAACUCCGUGCCAGCAGCCGCGGUAAUACGGAGGAUCCAAGCGUUAUCCGGAUUUAUUGGGUUUAAAGGGUGCGUAGGCGGCUUGAUAAGUUCGAGGUGCAAGGUCGGCGCUUAACCCGGGAACGGCCUCUAAUACUGUUGAUCUCGAGUGUAGGUGCGGUAGGCGGCAUG
rnacentral:rRNA from 1 species